rnacentral:rRNA from 1 species
CUACGGGAUGCUGCAGUGGGGAAUAUUGGACAAUGGGGGAAACCCUGAUCCAGCAAUGCCGCGUGUGUGAAGAAGGCCUGCGGGUUGUAAAGCACUUUCGGUUGGGAGGACUGCUUCUAGCACUAAUAUUGUUGGAAGUUGACGUUACCUUCAGAAGAAGCACCGGCUAACUCCGUGCCAGCAGCCGCGGUAAUACGGAGGUGUGCAAGCGUUAAUCGGAAUUACUGGGCGUAAAGCGCGCGUAGGCGGCUAGAUCAGUCGGGUGUGAAAGCCCCGGGCUUAACCUGGGAACUGCAUCCGAUACUGUCUAGCUUGAGUACAGGAGAGGAGAGUGGAAUUCCACAUGUAGCGGUGAAAUGCGUAGAUAUGUGGAGGAACACCAAUGGCGAAGGCAGCUCUCUGGCCUGAUACUGACGCUGAGGUGCGAAAGCGUGGGGAGCAAACAGGAUUAGAUACCCUCGUAGUC